rnacentral:rRNA from 1 species
GACGAACGCUGGCGGCGUGCUUAACACAUGCAAGUCGAACGAGUGGCGAACGGGUGAGUAAUAUAACGGAACGUACCGAGUAAUGGGGGAUAACUAAUCGAAAGAUUAGCUAAUACCGCAUAUUAUUCGAGCGGCCGAUAUCUGAUUAGCUAGUUGGUGGGGUAAAGGCCUACCUAGGCUGAGAUCCCUAGCUGGUCUGAGAGGAUGAUCAGCCACACUGGGACUGAGACACGGCCCAGACUCCUACGGGAGGCAGCAGUGGGGACUAUUGCACAAUGGGCGCAAUCCUGAUGCAGCCAUGCCGCUUGUAUGAAGAAGGCCCUAGGGUUGUAAAGUACUUUCAGUCGGGAGGCGUUACCGACAGAAGAAGCACCGGCUAACUCCGUGCCAGCAGCCGCGGUAAUAC